rnacentral:rRNA from 1 species
GGAGUUAGCCGGUGCUUCUUCUGUGAGUGAUGUCCUUCCUGCCGGUUAUUGACCCGCAGGCCUUCUUCCUCACUGAAAGUGCUUUACAACCCGAAGGCCUUCUUCACACACGCGGCAUGGCUGGAUCAGGGUUGCCCCCAUUGUCCAAUAUUCCCCACUGCUGCCUCCCGUAGGAGUCUGGGCCGUGUCUCAGUCCCAGUGUGGCUGAUCAUCCUCUCAGACCAGCUACGGAUCGUCGCCUUGGUGAGCCGUUACCUCACCAACCAGCUAAUCCGACAUAGGCUCAUCCGAUAGCGCGAGGCCCGAAGGUCCCCCGCUUUCCCCCGUAGGGCGUAUGCGGUAUUAGCCUGGGUUUCCCCAGGUUAUCCCCCACUACCGGGCAGAUUCCUAUGCAUUACUCACCCGUCCGCCGCUCGCCACCAGGGAGCAAGCUCCCCGUGCUGCCGCUCGACUUGCAUGUGUUAGGCCUCGCCGCCACGCGUUCAACUCUGAGCCAUAAUACAAACUACUGA